rfam:Vitis vinifera, whole genome shotgun sequence of line PN40024, unoriented chromosome 13, chr13
AUAUUUUUAGAAACGAAAGAAGGUGGGCAUCUGCCCUGGCAAGGAUGGGAAUGGCCUCUUUGGGUACACAUCUGGUUAAGGCUUCCUGCUUAAAUGGAUCCUGUGUGCAUGGAUUGCACCCACCUUUUGGU